GUUGAAACACCAAUUCCUGUACGACCACCAAAGUUAAGCAAUGUUGAGCCUGGCCAGUACCUUGACAGGUGACCACAAGGGAAUACCAGGUACUGUAAG